GCUGGGCAUGGUGGCGCUUGCCUGUAUUCCCAGCUACUCAGGAGGCUGAGGCAGAAGAAUCACUUGAACCCAGGAGGUGGAGGUUGCAGUGAGCAAAGGUCAUGCCACUGCACUCCAGCCUGGAUGACAGAGUGAGACUCCGUCUCAA
rnacentral:sRNA from 1 species